AACACAUUCGUGUACUGGAAACCCGUUCGGUGGGUCAAGGUUAAAAAACGGAACAGGAUAGAAACGGUCAGAUUUUAGGUAUGUGUGAGUGUGCAUUCGGUCAAGAUGUAAAAUGCAUUUCUCACCGUAGGCCCCUUGGACGAGGUCACAGUGGUGGUGAUGGAAGGGCCCUGCAGACCGUGAGAGAACGAGGUCAAGGUCAGAACUGAUUCCUGGAAAGGCUGACUUCUGAGGACUCGGGCUUGGAGGAGCCUGAGGAAAAGAAGGCAGGGGUCCUUGCAGCCCUCAUCCCCAGGCUGUGCCUUGUGGACGAUGACUCACAGCUGGACUGAAUGAUCCAGAAAGACCCAGAUUAGCUCAGAGGUGGCCCAGACAGGAAAAUGAGACGCAAAGAGCAUAAAUGCUGAAGGAGAGAGAGAGGAGUUAGAAAGAGGACAGCCAUGUUCUUCCUGGACGGGGCUGAAUGGUGGCCUCCGAAAAGGGCUUGUGGUGCUUUGUUACGGCAGCCACAGGAAACUAAUACACACUCGUUUCUUCGGGGGAUUGUCAUGGAACCAGCAAAUCUGGCUACACGGCAAAUGAACCGAUGCAGAACGAUGGUGAGCGGUCAGCAUGAUCAUGCUUUUCAGGCUGUCCUGUUUCCUCCCCUUGGAGCCCCCUAUGGAGCACAUGCUGUUAUUAUCCUGACUUCACAGGCAAACAAACUAAGGCAAUGCUGUAGGUAACUCGCCAAGGUCACCGGCGGGCGGGUGGGAGUGCCCUAAGUGGCAGCCUUCCUAGGCCCCCGACGUCAGGUGACGGGAAGAGCGUGAGGUCUAUUGGCCGAGCAGCAGCAGGAGGUUGGGCACUGAACCAAAAACGGGAGGACGAAAGCGUGUCACCUUAACCCUGUGAAGGGCCCGCCUUCUCCCCUGGGCCAGAAUUAUCCAGAGGAAGCCAUGGCACGCCCACCUGAUGGAAUGGUGUGCACCCAUCGAAGACGGCCUUCUGAAGCCUGUAGCAUCAUGGGAAAGGAUGACGUCGCCAAGCGAACAACGCUCCCUGCAGAAUUGCCUCUGUGCAGGGUCGCCCCCCUGGCAGUGUGACGUGUGCACGUGGGUGUAGCUGGAGGGGACUCUUGAGCCACGUGGCUCUCCACACCGUCUCUGGUCAGAUGUCCUUGCCUUUACGCAUGCCCAAGUUGAUGGCCGGGGGCUGGUCACUUGGCCCCAGGUUCGCCAGCCAGCGGUUCCCUUAGGAAUACAGAGUAGUGAUUCCUCGGGUGCCUGGAGCUUGGGUGCUGUGCACUCACGCGAGGGAGCUGUGGGUCGCUUACGCUGCUCAAAAGGACUGAAGCCAUCAGAGAAGCUGCUGUGCAGAGACAGAGACUGAGAGAGAAUCAAGAAGCAGAUGUAGAGAGGAAGAGACAGUCACAGGCUGAAAGAAGAAAACCAGCCACCAUGCUUGCUGUUGAGAAACCCCAGCCCUGGGGGAUGGCCCAGUCUGCGGCUGAAUAUUCUACUGGACAGGAUUUCAUGGCAGUGGUUGUUGGGUCAAUGACAUGACCCAAAACAAAACUGACAGCCAAUUAACUAAGCUUCUGUGGGAAUCGAAACUCCAGGAAACCCUAAAACCUGGCAAACUGGGGCUUGUGACGGCUUACCCUCUGGGUGAUUCCUAAGCCCACGUCCCAGCACCAAUGUGAAGCAGGUUCCCGGGUAGCUGUGUCCCCUCCUAGAACAAGGUGUCCCAAGAAUCUCUCAAGGGCGGGUCUGCAAGACCCCAGAGAAGGGAUCCCUUCCCAGUGGGCAGGACCGGGGGCGGCCAUGUUUGCCGACCAAGAAGCCGAAGAAGGUAACCCGUAAAGCAAACCCCGUGAAUAUCUUGUUCCUGAGGUUUAAUUUACUCCUCUUGGCUAGAAGACCAGGAUGUGUGCUCUGUAUCUUCCUUCGCUUUUCUGCUCUAGAGAUCAAGCACGGAAGGAGAGGUUAAACUGAUCGCUUAGCCUACAGAUUGAGACAGAUCCAAGGAGCCACCUUAGAUGAGACUCCGUAGAAAUAGACAGGACCGGGUGUCAGCUGAAGAUACCAGCUCUGAGAAUGGAGCCCUGGACACAAUAGUUGGACCUGACUUGGAUCGCCUCCCAUUUGGCAGGGGGACGAGAUAUUUGCGGCGGACUUUGUGGCAUAACGAUUAAGCAAGAGCAAUCAGAAUGGAGAUAUCUGGGGAAAGCCGAAGGAAUUAAGCGUGUCUGUGUGUGUGUGUGUGUGUGUGUGUGUGUGUGAUGGAGAGUGGAUGCUCUUGGCCGUCCAUCUGGCCCCCUCUUCUCGUAGCCCUUCCUCGCUUUGUCAUGACAGAAAUGUAGCAUAUAAACUUGACCGCUGGCCAUAACCGAUUCCUGCUUCCCGGGGUUUGGGACCCGGACAUAGUUCUCUCUGGGAGAAGGGAUCCAGGCCACAUCAGCAUGGCAGGUGUGACGCAGGUGGGCAAAUGGGACAGGCAAGCAAGCGGUGCUGAGAAAGAAUCCAAGAGCUCUGAGUUCUCGUGCUCCAAACUGGGCUGCGUGUCUGGGCUCCAUGAGAACAUCCUGUGCCUUUGCUAUAAAGUCUCCUUUCCUGCUUGAGCAGUCAGCGACUGAUUUCUGAUUCUUGGGGUCACUCAUUUGCUGGGACAGCGACCUACCCUGGGGCAUGCGGCUGGAGAACAAACUUAAGACAUCUAAUAAUCAAGAGAGCCAACUGGACUAGCCCCCCCCCCCCCCCACCUGGGGUUAUCUCCCACCACCUCCUCCUGCCCUUCAUGCUGCACCAAGGGCUGCGACUUGUGGCUCCGGACCACCCCAAGCUCCCUGACUCUGGGCCUUUGCUCAUGCUGUUCCCUUUGCCUGGACUGCCCUUCCCAACUGUUCCUCUUGCCCUCUCCGCCUCUUUCCUUGCCUGGCCGGUUGGCACAGAUAUCGCCCACUUGGCCCCUGUCUAGAAGGGUCUUUGUUCCAGGCUGCAGCAUCCCCUGUACUGUAGCACUCGGUCUGCUCAGUUCCGACUGCCAGGGUGCUGGCUGCUCCUCAGAGCGGGGCCUCCGCAUGGAUCGGGCUGGCAUCCCGGCGUGAGCUCGGUGUCGGCACCCAGAGUGUUACAAGUGAGUCUGUAGAAGUGUGGGAUGAAUGAAUGAAUGACCCAGUCAUGGCUGGACAGGAUUUGCCCAGCAGAAGGGUCAGGGGUCUGCAGCCAAGGGAGAGGAAGGACAAAGGCCCUGGUCCUGCCAGCGUGGGAACAGCUCCUUCCUUUCCUUCCAGCAGGCGCCCAACACCCAGGGACUGGGAGCCAGAUGCUCAGAGGCUUGACAGCCUCAGGGAGUCCAGACUCACCUUCCAGAGCGGCCCCUCCACCCCUCAUAUCACCGGACAUGGGGGUUAAGCCUGGAUCGGUCCAUCUCGUGCGCUGAUGAAAGGGCAAUGGUGCAAAAUUCGUUGGGGAGAAAAACAGGAAGUGGAGCCUGAGAGCAAAAGCUGCAGAAACGCUCCCCGGGCGUUGGCCGCCCUUUCACCCGCAGCCUUACAGGAAAGUGGUGAGGGGGCAGCCCCAGCCCGGGCCGUGGGGGCGUGGGGUGGGGGUGCUGGUGGGAGAGUCCAGGAAAGACCCUUCCGCUGUAUUUUUAGGGGCUGUGUCUUAUAGAGCAAACGCGACAUCUGUGUCCUGCACUUGACAUCUCUCACCUGUUCACAGCGGCUCCUCAAGCCGGGGACUCGGGGUAGCCCCAGUCCUCUAGCUUCACACCUGACAGGCAUCGUCAGAGUGAGAGCAAGGAGAAGAGGUACCCAGGCAGGGGUGAGGUCAAGGAGCAGGGAGACAACGCCCCGAAGGCCCUCCCCCCCCACCGGAGCCCUCACUUGGACCCCAGCUCUCCCGGCCCCGGGACACGACGUCCAGGUCCCCGUCAUCCCACAGAGUCGUAGAUGGAGCCCCCCAGGCCCACGGAACCUGGCCACCGGUACAGAAGGCACCGCGGCCCCCCACCCCCCAUCUCUGAGGUUGAAACCACAAUGUCGUGCUGUGGCCUUCACUCACCCGUCACGACAGGGGUCCCUUUCCCAGAAGCCUCUGGGGGCUUCCAGACCACAGCAGAAGCCAGGUGUCACCAAGCCUCGCGGUCUGGGCCACCACCAAGGGACGAGGCUCCAAGUUUCACUCAUCCAUUCAACACACGUUGUCAAAUGUCACCAGACACGGUCCUGGUGCCCUGAGGAUACUGCGGUGACAACGACUCUGCCUGCGGGACAUUCAGGUGGGGGGGCGGGGCAGAUUCGGAAAUAAACAAGAAACAAAC